ensembl:miRNA
AGCGAUGGGCAGUUGGAAGGGGGGCCGUUACACUGUAAGAGAGUGAGUAGCAGGUCUCACAGUGAACCGGUCUCUUUUCCUACUGUGUCAUGCCA